rnacentral:rRNA from 1 species
UGGGGAAUCUUGCGCAAUGGGCGAAAGCCUGACGCAGCCAUGCCGCGUGAAUGAUGAAGGUCUUAGGAUUGUAAAAUUCUUUCACCGGGGACGAUAAUGACGGUACCCGGAGAAGAAGCCCCGGCUAACUUCGUGCCAGCAGCCGCGGUAAUACGAAGGGGGCUAGCGUUGCUCGGAAUUACUGGGCGUAAAGGGAGCGUAGGCGGACAUUUAAGUCAGGGGUGAAAUCCCGGGGCUCAACCUCGGAACUGCCUUUGAUACUGGGUGUCUUGAGUGUGAUAGAGGUAUGUGGAACUCCGAGUGUAGAGGUGAAAUUCGUAGAUAUUCGGAAGAACACCAGUGGCGAAGGCGACAUACUGGAUCAUUACUGACGCUGAGGCUCGAAAGCGUGGGGAGCAAACAGGAUUAGAUACCCUGGUAGUCCACGCCGUAAAACGAUGAUUGCUAGUUGUCGGGGUGUUUACACCUCGGUGACGCAGCUAACGCAUUAAGCAAUCCGCCUGGGGGAGUACGGUCGCAAGAUUAAAACUCAAAGGAAUUGACGGGGUCAUAGCUGUUUCCU